GAGCACGUAGGUGGGUUUGUAAGUCAGAUGUGAAAGCCUUCUGUUCAACGGAAGAAUUGCAUCUGAAACUGCGAGUCUUGAGUAUAGGAGGGGAGAAUGGAACUUCUGGUGGAGCGGUGAAAUGCGUAGAUAUCAGAAGGAACGCCGGCGGCGAAAGCGAUUCUCUGGCCUAUUACUGACACUCAGUGCGCGAAAGCUAGGGGAGCAAACGGGAUUAGAUACCCCGGUAGUCCUAGCCGUAAACGAUGGGCACUAAGUAGAGGGAAUUACCGAUGUUCUCUCUGCCGUAGCUAACGCAUUAAGUGCCCCGCCUGGGGAGUACGGCCGCAAGGCUAAAACUCAAAAGAAUUGACGGGGGCUCGCACAAGCGGUGGAGCAUGUGGCUUAAUUCGAUGCAACGCGAAGAACCUUACCGGGGCUUGACAUGGUAGAAGUAGGAACCCGAGAGGGUAACGAACGGUAUCCAGUCCGUAGCUAUCACAGGUGUUGCAUGGCUGUCGUCAGCUCGUGUCGUGAGACGUUGGGUUAAGUCCCCUAACGAGCGAAACCCUUGUUUUUAGUUACCAGCGGGUUAUGCCGGGUACUCUAGAAAGACUGCCGUCGUCAAGACGGAGGAAGGUGGGGAUGACGUCAAGUCAUCAUGGCCCUUAUGCCCCGGGCUGCACACGUGCUACAAUGGUCGGUACAAACGGAAGCGAAGCCGAGAGGUGAAGCGAAUCC
rnacentral:rRNA from 1 species